ACCACUCAGUGUCCAACUGAUUGCCAUCGACUGAGUGUACUCUGUGUCUAUAGCGGUCGAGGUAUAGCUCCUGGCCCUCUCUCAACUCUAGGGCCUUAUCGUAGUUCCUAUAAAGGUCGAAGCAUAGCUUCCUGACCCUCCCUAUUAACUCCAGGGGCUCUAUCAUAGCUACUAUAGAGUCGAGGCAUAGCUCCUGGUCCCAUCAACACCAAGGCCUUAUCGUAGCUACUCUUGAAGACGUGUAUAGCCCGUAUCUAAAUUUUAGUGACUUCCAAAUACCUUUCUGAGAGUGAAAACGUUGAUUUUUUUAAUGUUUAUUGAGGUAUAUAACACAGCAACGUUCCAUAGUUCCUGAUAAGACUCUGAUUGUCUUGUGGAAGCACUCACAUAUCUAGAUUACUGUGUAUGUAGUGGUGUGAGUGUUGCGUGUGUGUUGUGAAGCGGUUCUUACACCAGGAAGAAGCAACUUGGACUGCAACACAAGAAGAUUAUGAACAACUAGCCUUUGGCCACCGGGAAAUCACGACCAGCGCGCCAAGAUGAAGUUCGCAGAGCAUCUUGCGGCGCAUAUUACGCCGGAGUGGAGGAAGCAAUAUAUUAGUUAUGAGGAGAUGAAGGCUAUGUUAUAUGCUGCUGUGGAGCAAGCCCCAUCAUCUGAGGUCACUGAAGCUGAAGUUAUAACUCGAUACUAUGCCCGAUUUGAUGAGCAGUUCUUUCGGGUGUGUGACAAAGAAUUAGCGAAGAUCAACACUUUCUUCUCAGAGAAGAUGGCUGAAGCAACCAGAAAAUAUACCACACUGACAUCGGACUUACAAGCAUCAAAGGAUCAACAUGGGGAUGGCCUUCGCAACCGCAAGGGCUUCACCUUUCUACCCAAACUCAACGUACCAGCGAGGAAGAUGCAGGAUCUGAAACUGGCAUUUUCAGAGUUCUACUUAAGUCUUAUACUUCUUCAGAACUAUCAGAACCUCAAUUUUACUGGCUUUAGAAAGAUUUUGAAGAAACAUGAUAAACUCAUGAGUACAUCAGAUGGAGCUAAGUGGAGAGAAGAUAAUGUUGAUUGCUCUCCCUUCAAUACCAAUAAAGACAUUGACAAGCUCAUUCAAGAGGUUGAAGGUACCUUCACCUCAGAGCUGGAACAAGGUGACCGUCAGAGAGCCAUGAAACGACUGCGUGUGCCUCCCCUGGGUGAAGCUCAGAGCCCCUGGACCACAUUUAAAGUUGGACUCUUUUCUGGAGCAUUUAUUGUCCUUAUUGUCUCAGUUAUUCUCUCAGGAAUCUUCCACUGGGGUUCACACAACUUGCAGGUCGUCCUGCGGCUCUUCCGAGCUCCACUCAUGAUCAUUCUCUUCCUCUUUCUCAUUGGCAUCAACAUCUAUGGCUGGAGAUCAUCUGGAGUCAAUCAUGUCCUUAUUUUUGAAAUAGACCCCAGGAACCAUUUGACAGAACAACAUCUAAUUGAGAUUGCAGCAAUUUUUGGUGUAAUUUGGGCACUGAGUGUGCUAGGGUUCCUCUAUGCAGAAGCUUUAUCCAUCCCUUCAUAUACUGUUCCCUUGGCUCUUCUCUGUUUUAUGAUGCUGUUUCUUCUUAACCCAACAAGAACAUUCCAUCAUGAAGCUCGCUUCUGGCUUCUUAAAAAGCUGGGACGAGUGGUGUGCGCACCAUUCUGCUUUGUGCAGUUUGCGGACUUCUGGCUGGGUGACCAACUGAACACCCUCGUGCAGGUGCUGAAGGACUUUGAAUACUCUCUCUGCUUCUAUACUCAAGGCAUCAACUGGUAUUCAAGUCUAAAUGUAGAUGAUAACGUGUGUAUCGACAAGACGCAGGUGGUGCGCAAUAUUGUCGCAUGUCUGCCUGCUUGGUGGCGCUUUGCCCAGUGCCUUCGUCGGUACCGUGACACUCGUGAAAUGUUCCCUCAUCUUGUUAAUGCGUUCAAGUACGCCACCACGUUCUUCGUUGUAACGUUCACCUGUCUCACGCACUUGUACAGAGAUCAGUACGAGGAUGGCAUCAACAAUCCUUUCUUCUACAUGUGGGUGGGAUCAAUGCUCUUCAGCUCAUGUUUUGUCUUCUGGUGGGAUAUGGUGAUGGAUUGGGGUCUCUUUGAGAAGAAUGCCGGUGAAUACAAGUUCCUGCGUGAAGAGCUUGUUUAUUCUUCACCGUACUACUAUUACUUUGGCAUCGUGGAAGAUUUUAUUCUAAGAUUUAGUUGGACCUUCUCUCUCACUCUCACCGAGCUUAAGCUGACCAACGGUGAAAUUAUUGUUUCCAUACUUGCUCCGUUGGAAAUUUUCAGGCGAUUCAUAUGGAACUUCUUCCGUCUUGAGAACGAACACAUAAACAACUGUGGUAAAUUCCGAGCCGUACGAGAUAUUUCCGUGAUACCCAUGGAUGCUUCUGAUCAGGCCCAGAUUGUGAAGAUGAUGGACGAGCCUGAUGGUAUAGUAAAUCGGAAAAAGAAGAAGGCGGGCGGCAAACAACGUAAGGGAAUUGAUGCUCGACCUUUGCUUGCUGAAGGGACAGGUGGUGGUGUUGGCGAGAGUGUUGACGAAGAGGCAAACUACCUCACCGUCACCUCUGUAGAGCUUCGCAACUGGUUUCGGGGGAUAACUGGUCAUCGCAACACACACACUGCUAACACCUAACUAGAUACAGUGUUAGUUAGAGAUAUAAAAUAUUAACUGCAUGCAGGGAAGAUAGUGUAUAACUGGGGAUAUAUUAGACAACCUCUAGUGCUAGAAAAAUUCGUACGAUUCCAUAAUUUGUAAAACUUUAGUAUGUGUUUAACACGUGACAAAUUUUUCACAAUGCUAUGUGUGGUAAUGAUCUCAUAUACAUAUUUUAUAUUUAAUUUGGAAAUGUCAAAACAUUGUUUUUAAUAUAUUUGUGUAUAUUGUCUUGUAUAAGUUGCUUAUACUAGAGAGGUAUGUAUGAAGCCACUCCAUGGGGAAGUGGAGAAGAAUCCUUCCUCCAUAAGCCUUGUAUGCCGUAAGAGGUGACUAAAAAUGCCGGGAGCUAGGUGCUAGUAACCCCUUCUCCCGUACAAGUUACUAAAUGUUCGGAGAAGAUGAUUUUAUAUUUUUUCAUUUUUUUUUGGUCACCCUUCCUUGGUGGGAGUUGGCCGUUAUGUUAAAAAAUAUAUAAAGCUGUAAGUGCAUUGGGUUUCUGCUGUAGAUAAAACUUUUUAUGUCAAAUUACUGAACAUUUGUAAAAUAGGAGUGAAUGGAGACAAAUGGUUUUUAAUACUUGAUGUGCUGUUGGAGUGUGAGCAAAGUAACAUUUAUGAAGGGGUUCAGGGAAACCGGCAGGCCGGACUUGAGUCCUGGAGAUGGGAAGUACAGUGCCUGCACUCUGAAGGAGGGGUGUUAAUGUUGCAGUUUAAAAACUGUAGUGUAAAGCACCCUUCUGGCAAGACAGUGAUGGAGUGAAUGAUGGUGAAAGUUUUUCUUUUUCGGGCCACCCUGCCUUGGUGGGAAUCGGCCGGUGUGAUAAUAAAAAAAAAUAAAAAAAAAAAAAAAUUGUAAAAUUGUGCGUUUGAUGAAUAUUUCAGGUGCAAAACUUGAGAGUUCCAGCUGCUAACUAUGAUUAGUUGCAACUUCCAUAGAAAUUAUCUUGUUUGACUAUCAUUUUUUAUUUUUUUAAUUACAUUUUUCUAAAAUUAUCACAAUAAAGAAUUCCAGUCUUCGACAGAUCCACGAUAAGUAUAACUGUGUUUUGACAGUUUGGCCAUUAAAACAUUAGUUUCAUUCACGGUAUUACGUCCUGUUUUCCCAAGAUAUUAUUAGCACUGUUGUGUGAAAGCCAUUGCAUAUAAAGAAUAAAAAGUCACAAUAGCGUGACUAGAUCAAUACACAAAUAACUCACACAGGAGAAAGAAACUUGUGAGCACGUUUUGGAUGGACUUGGACCAUUAACUAGCUGCACACUGUGUGACUAGUGUUUGGCUAGUUAGUGGUCCAAGGAUUGAAAUGUUGCUAUAAGUUUCUCCUAUGUACAGGUUGUUUGUCCAUGAAAUGCAUGAUUACAAAUAUGGAAAAUACCAUUAAAAAAUUAAGAGGUGAUUUAGAGACCUUGGAUAUUUUCCGUUGCAUUCACACACCUGUCUAUGGGGGGACUAAUUUCUCCGAAGAUUGUGUGUGUGAAUGAUUCAGUAUUUCCCGUUUAGUAUUUUUAUAUGUAAAUGCUUGAAUUGCAGUUGUGUGCGUCUUUUUUUGACACGCAUAUAUCCCGAACUUAGCAUUGAGUUAUAAGUGCAGUCGUUGCAAACUGUGUAGUGGCGUAAUGAAACAAUGCACAUAUCUGGAAGUUAACAUCUGAUAUGCUGUAUGUAACUUUGAUUAACCACAAGUUGCAUAGUCUGAGUGGACAUAAACCAAGAGUUGUGUCUUUCUCAGCCUAUGUGCUCUGAGAGUUUUACCUUAAUUCUUAUGACUUAAGAAAUCGUAAUGACACGAUUGCAAAUAAACACCUAUGGUGUAGAAAUAUACCUAGUUGGAUGAAUCUUAUUGUGGCUAGCUGGUCUAGUGGCUAGCGCGACGGGCUGGAGUUUUGAGACUCUAUGACCGCGGGUUCAAUCCCGGCCGGGGGUAUGGCUUAAUUCUUAUUCUGGGGAGUAGCGUAUUCUGGAGUAAUAGUAAACAGGUUAUAUGCAGUCUUAAUAACUUUUAUGUAGAUGAUAAACCUUAAACCCCAUUAACGAACCUGGUUUGAAGAAUUAAGAGUCACAACACCGUGACUGGAACAAUACACAAAUAAUUUAUUCCGCACAUAGGAGAGAGGAACUUAUGACGACAUUUGGAUCCAAGUUGGACCAUUAACUAGUGACUAGUUACUGGUCCAAGUUGGACUGAAAUAUCCUCAUAAAUUUCACUGUCCUAUGUAUGGAUUAUAAUCCAUAUAAGUGUUUGCAAGUGAACAUCAACCAGGUUCACUAUACAAAUAAUUUGUAUAGUGAACCUGGUUGAUGUUCACUUGUAAACACUUGUCAACAUAUUUGAUAAAAUCUAGCAGGAAUUUCUGUAGAUAACUUCAUGUAUCUUGUAACAAUGUACCUUAUUAAGUCUCCAUGGAUCUUGCAGUAGGAAUCUUAGACAUAUUUCUUGUGUUGCUUCAGGUUUUCAGUGCUUUUACGUUUAAUGUACAUGAUUAUGCAAGGAGCGCUGGGGACUUAACUGGUGCUUGCAAAUGCAGCUUCACAGAUGUAUUGAUUUAGCCACAAAAUGAAGAAAAGUUUAUGUAAUUUUAUGACAUGAUAAAAUGCUCAUAUAUGUUAAAUGUGUGAAGAAAAUUUCACUUGUAGAUGAAUGGUUCAAAGAACCGACACGUUGCACAUGUGUCUAAUUUAAUAACAAAAAAAAAAAAGGCACAAUACCAUGACUGGAACGAUACACAAAUAACCCGCACAUAAAAGAGAGAAGCUUACGACGACAUUUCGGUCUGACUUGGACCAUUUACAAAGUCACAAAGUCGUAAGCUUCUCUCUUUUAUGUGUUGGUUAUUUGUGUGUCUAAUUUAACAAAAAAAUUAUUGUCGGAGGUCUUGGGGCUUCCUAUCCCAGAAACAUUUAUGCCAUGUAUCAUAUACAGGUGCUCCUUGACUUACGAUUGUUCGACUUACAAUAUUUCAACUUGACGAUGGUGCAAAAGCAUUUCUUUUGGAGAUGAAACUAGAGACAUUUACCCAGCAUGAAGGCAGCAAGUUCUUAACUUGUAUUCAUUUAUAUACUUUUCAAUGCUGGUAUUUAGGUAGUAACAGUAAUUAUUUAUUUAUUUAUUUGGUGACUAUUUAUUUAUUUAUUUAUUUAGCAUAUAGUAUUCAUAUUCGACUUAUAUGUUCAUAUAUUCAUAUUCAACUUACGAUGGGUUUGUCAGAAUGUAACCCCAUUGUAAGUUAAGGAGCACCUGUAUAUACGUACUGUAUAUUCCGAGGCAUUUCAGAUUGUGAUAACAGGUUUUAUAUAUAAUAUAUAUACAGUGGACCCCCGCAUAACGAUUACCUCCGAAUGUGACCAAUUAUGUAAGUGUAUUUAUGCAAGUGCAUUUGUACGUGUAUGUUUGGGGGUCUGAAAUGGACUAAUCUACUUCACAAUAUUUCUUAUGGGAACAAAUUCGGUCAGUACUGGCACCUGAACAUACUUCUGGAGUGAAAAAAUAUCGUUAACCGGGGGUCCACUGUAUUAUAUAUGGGGGUAUUGUAUACUAUUUUUUACUAAAAUUUUGGCAUACACGGGUUCAUGGUUUAAUUGUUGUAGCACAAAAUUAGUUAAUAAGUGUAGUUGGAUUAUGUUUUUGUAUAUGUUAUUGGUUAAGCACACUGUAUGGCAGUUUGUUGAGUGAGCAGUGAACUUCAUGGGUGCAGUGUUAGUACACUGGACUGGUUCCAGGGUUCUCCAGGAGGGGGGAAGGGAAGAAGCUGAUUAGUGACCUAAGUCAAGUGUGGCCCUUAACUCCAGAACAUACGAAACCUUUAACCUGUCCUCAGAUUCUACAUUAUCUAUACAGAGACUCUCCUACAUGUGAACAUUCAUGUUGCAAACUUUCGAUAAUAUGAACAAAGAUCAGCUCGAAGCUCAGCAGCAGUGUUGGGUGCUGUUGAGCCUAACGCUGAUCCAAGAGGAGCUGACCAAUGUAUUUUUCCUGUGUUCACGUAUAUGUUUAAACCAUGUACAUUCUAGGUUACUCAAUGUUUUUACUUACACAUAUUAAACUACAAUACUGUAUACGUACAUAUUUUGGACUUAGGAACAAAUUGACUUAAAAAUGACGGCUCAGAACCGAACCUGUUUGUAACUAGAAAGUAUCUGUAUUGUUUUCUUAAUAAUUUUUUUUAAUUUUCUGAGUUUUAGUAUUAUAAGUAAACUUCCUGGGUGCCAUUUUUAUUAUGCAAUGAUGAGGAAGGCAUGUAGAAAAACUAGGUUUGUGAAUUAAUUUUUAUUUGGAUGCUGGAAUAUAGUCUGAAUCAUUGAAAUAUGCAAAGAAAUAACCUUUUAGCACAUAUUUCUUAAUUUUUAAUAUUUCACAUCUUUUUUAACCCUUAAACUGUCCAAACGUAGAUCUACGUUUUUAUGCGUAGCGCUCCGACUUUGAUUUUCCCCUUAAGAAAGAAUGUAAAAAAAAAUGUAGAUCUACGUUUGAAGCGCUGCGCGAGCGAGCGUAGAUCUACUUUUGGACAGUUUAAAAAAUAAGUCUUAAAGAACUUAUGAAUUUUUCGCAUGUAGCUCCUGACUUGCUUCAAUCAAAAUUUUGCUCAUAAAAUUAAUAUAUUAUUAUUAUACAGUUCACGUAGAUGCUCAUUUCAGAGUACAGUGGACCCUCGACCAACGAUGGCAUCGUCAACGUUAAAUCCGACUAACGAUACAUGUUAACGCUAACAUGUUGCCUCGACUAACGCUAAAAAAACUCGACUAACGAUAUUCGUACUCUGGUACCAGUUAAUAUCGUUAGUCGAGGGUCCACUGUAUAGAAUUAUUUUUCAUGCUUUGGUAGAGAGCUAGAGAUCAAAUAGGAGAAUGUUAUAAUUAUAACCAUGAUUUUUAAAGAGGUGGAGGGGUAAGCCAGUGGAAGGCUCGGCCAGAUGACCAAAAGCUCCAGCUGUGGAGUCAUCAUAUAACUAAGACCUGUGUCAGGAAGCACUUGUCCUGUUUCCUGACAAACCUUACUUAACCAUGCACUUGGUAGUGCAGUGGGUGCCAGUGGCUGGCAGUGGAUAGACAAUGGCUCUUAUGCAAGCAGGACAUAGUCACAACAGGAACUUCAGACAAUUCUGAAAGCAGCUUGUGUCAAGAGCUGCAAAUGCUCUUUUGGUGACCUCUUGAACUUCCAUACACCAGGAAUCUAUGCCCAUUACCAGUUUUCUCAGGAAACUGCUGCUAGUCCAUUGGAAGAGUAGUGCAAACAUUAAUCAGAAGAAAAUCUACCACCCUUUCUGGCAGCUUGUUGAAGCAUUGUUUGUAAGACUGAUUUGCAGAGGUAAUUUUAUGACGUAUGUACUUGAUUAAACCAAUUUGUUGUGAUGUGUACCAAUGACGACUCUUCCAUAAUCGUUGUUUCACCCUAUUUCAACUUGUGAUAAGAAUAGCACUGGAUGUACUGCCCAAGGACAGAUACUAUCUAUGAAGGCAUUUUUUAGCAUGGGUGAUGCCCUGACAUAACUGGGAUGGCUCUCCUGUGGUCUCAACUACUAUGACUUUACCUGUGUUGUAGUAAUUCACUGAAAGGAGAGUUUGAACCCAUGUCAGGUCAGUGCUAAAUCUAAAGAACAAAAAGGCACAAAACCGUGACUGGAACAAUAUACAAAUACCCUGCACGUGCAGGUUAUUUGUGUAGUGCUAAAUCUAGCAGACCAGUAUGCUGAGCACUGUACCAUGCUGGUCUAAUAAGAGACAUCCAACUAGGAGUAUUUCUAUACACAAGAAAGUUUAACAUAGCCACUACUAUGACCACAAUGCACGUUGUUACAGAUGAAUCUCACGCCAGCAUGACUGUGACAAGCUAUAGCUCAAGAUCCUUGAAAGCUGCUAUGAAUGACUCAUGAGUCAAGCGUAGUUAUAUGAUGUGACUGGGCAUAUUUAUAGCAUUUUGUGAAUGGAGUAAUUUUUUAUUUUUUGGAGGGGGCUGGGUUCCUGGAGACAAUGGUGUUUAUGAGAAACAGACAUUGAAUUUGCAUAUUCCUUUGCACAUUCUGUACCUCAUGAGCUCCAGUUUUCUACAGGGAGGGUAAUGGCUUGGAAAUAGAGUAGUGGAUGAGUAGAACAGUCUACCUAGUAGUGAAUGAGUGGAACAGGGUACCUAGUAGUUGAUGAGUGGAACAGUCUACCUAUUAGUGGAUGAGUGGAACAAUGUACCUAGUAGUGGAUGAGUGGAACAGUCUACCUAGUAGUGGAUGAGUGGAACAGGGUACCUAGUAGUGGAUGAGUGGAACAAUCUACCUAGUAGUGGAUGAGUGGAACAGGGUACCUAGUAGUGGAUGAGUGGAACAGGGUACCUAGUAGUGGAUGAGUGGAACAAUCUACCUAGUAGUGGAUGAGUGGAACAAUCUACCUAGUAGUGGAUGAGUGGAACAAUCUACCUAGUAGUGGAUGAGUGGAACAAUCUACCUAGUAGUGGAUGAGUGGAACAAUCUACCUAGUAGUGGAUGAGUGGAACAAUCUACCUAGUAGUGGAUGAGUGGAACAAUCUACCUAGUAGUGGAUGAGUGGAACAAUCUACCUAGUAGGGUCAUUGAAACUAAAAGCUUGAGUAGCUUCAAAUUUAGGUUAGAUAAAUGUAUGAGUGAGAAGGGGUGGUGUUGAGUGGGACUUGCACAUGAGUGAGAAGGGCUGGUGUUGAGUGGGACUUGCACUUGAGUUUAUAGUGUUAUUAAGCUUAUUCCUUGGCUAACAUUGAUAAUGGUCUUGGCAAGUAUUUUUUAGUGGGUUUGGGUUGGACAAGGACCUGGCAAGUAUGGGCCAGUAGUCCUGCUGCAGUGUUCCUCCUUUCUUAAGUUCUUAAUAGCACAAAAGAAUUGUACACUGUUGAUGUUGCUUGUACAGUUCCCAUAAUGUUAUUCUCAGUAAUUUUAAUUCAAUGUACAGUGGUUGUGGUUAUACUAUAUCCAUUAUAACAGUUCAUGGGCUGGGUUAGGUAUAUUUUAUUAAAAAUAUAUGACAGCUUUGUAAUAUAGGAAGGCAACUCAAAAAGGCCUGAUAUUAAUAUUUUUACGUUGAAAGGACAUGGUAGGCUCUUAUGGCUCACGAAAUCAUCAUGACACGAUUGCAAACAAACCAUAUCACAAGGGGGGGUUAGAACCCGUGACAGUCUGGAGUUUUGAGACUCUGAUUAUGGGUUCUAACCCUUCCCGUGACAAUAUGCUGUGAUCAGUUAACUCGUAUAAUUAUUAAUAUGGUUAUUUUUUGUAUAUUGAGUGUAAUAUAUGUGUGUGUGUGUGUCAGUUCUUGGAAUAAAGGCUGACAGUCUUGAACAAAUGCAAGGGACUUCUUUUUUAAUCAGUAAAAGUACCCCUGAUGGAUAUAUUUAUCCUUGUAAAUAGUGAUAAGUUAUUAAUCUUUUAUGUGAAGAAUUAAUAUUACAUUUUUGUAGGUAAUAAGAAAAGUAAAUAUACAUCAGAUUAAUUGAAAUGCUUAUAAAAAAAAUCAGGGUGGGCAUAAUAAUGAAUAGGUAUAAUAAAUAAUAAUAAAUGGGCAUAAGAAAGUAUAUUGUGUUACAUUUAGUAUUUGAGGCAAGUAUUAAUCUAACACUUGAGCUAAAUAAUGAAUAUUUAAGAGACGUAUGUAAUACAGCCUCUCCUCACUUAAUGACGGAGUUCCGUUCCUAAGACCUCAUUGGUAAAUAAAUUUGAUCGUAAGUGAGGAUCGUACUAUAAUGGUAGUGGGUUUGUGUCAGCCAUCUUUGAUAUUGUUUUAAUGUCACCUUUGCACCAUUUAUAACAUUUCUGGUAUAUUUUUUAAAUGUUUAUGCAGUAGUGUUCUGUAUAUUGUAAUAAACAGAAUAGAGGAAAUCAGCUCUAAUGUAUAUUAAUUAGGUAUGAAUACUGGCCAAAGAGCCCGUCGUAAGUCUGAGUCGUUGGUAAACGAAUACGUUUCUAAGUGAGGAGAGGCUGUAUAGUAAAUUGUACAUAUGGUGAGUCGGGAAAACCAUAGUCUACAUUUCCGUAGCUUUUGCAAGAGAAUUGGAGAGAUUUGAACCAGAAUGAAGUAUGAUGAUGUAAACUUGUUGUACCAACACCCUGGCUAUGAUGACUGUAAACAAAUUAUACUAACACCCUGGCUAUGAUGACUGUAAACACAUUAUACUAACACCCUGGCUAUGAUGACUGUAAACACAUUGUACCAACACCCUGGCUAUGAUGACUGUAAACACAUCGUACCAACACCCAGCUACGAUGACUACAGUGAUAGUAUUCAUUAUCAUAGCCAUAGCCAAAUUGCUUGACACAGGUUCAAAUCCCAUCAUUUCUUUCAAAAUAUUGGGCAUUACAUUUACAGAAUGGCAUUCCUACUUUCAACUGGUAAUAUUGAAAGUUGAUAUUAUUUUUUAACUUGGGUAAUAUUGUGAAUAGUUAUGAGAUAACUGCAUUUUCUUUUCCUCAAUAGAAUAAUUAAGAAAAAACAGCAGCGUGGCAGUAAGUACGGUAAAAAUGGAAAAAGUCGCAGGCCUACUGCAAUUAAUGUGAAAUUAGAUUGAAAUAAGGUAGUAGGUUGGUAGACAGCAACCGCCCAGGGAGGUACUACCGUUCUGUGGUAGUUGGUUGGUAGACAGCAACCACCCAGGGAGGUACUACCGUCCUGUGGUAGUAGGUUGGUAGACAGCAACCACCCAGGGAGGUACUACCGUCCUGUGGUAGUAGGUUGGUAGACAGCAACCACCCAGGGAGGUACUACCAUCCUGUGGUAGUAGGUUGGUAGACAGCAACCACCCAGGGAGGUACUACCAUCCUGUGGUAGUAGGUUGGUAGACAGCAACCACCCAGGGAGGUACUACCGUCCUGUGGUAGUAGGUUGGUAGACAGCAACCACCCAGGGAGGUACUACCGUCCUGUGGUAGUAGGUUGGUAGACAGCAACCACCCAGGGAGGUACUACCGUCCUGUGGUAGUAGGUUGGUAGACAGCAACCACCCAGGGAGGUACUACCGUCCUGUGGUAGUAGGUUGGUAGACAGCAACCACCCAGGGAGGUACUACCGUCCUGCCAAGUGAGUGUAAAACAAAAGCCUGUAAUUGUUUUACAUGAUGGUAGGAUUGCUGGUGUCUUUUGUCUGUCUCUAUAAACAUGCAAGAUUUCAGGUACGUCUUGCUACUUCUACUUACACUUAGGUCACACUACACAUGCAUGUACAAGUAUAUAUAUACACACCCCUCUGGGUUUUCUUCUAUUUUCUUACUAGUUCUUGUUUAUUUCCUCUUAUCCCCAUGGGGAAGUGGAACAGAAUUAUUCUUCCAUAAGCAAUGCGUGUUGUAAGAGGUGACUAAAAUACCGGGAGCAAGGGGCUAGUAACCCCUUCUCCCGUAUAAAUUAAUAAAUUUAAAAAGAGAGACUUUUAUUUUUCUUUUUGGGCCACCCUGCCUCGGUGGGAUACUGCCAGUUUGCAUUGAAAGAAAGAAGAAAGAUUGAAGUUUUGUUUUGUAACUGAUGCUUGUGGUUAAGGCAUAAUGUGUAUUUAAUAAUAAUAAUAAUAAUAAUAGUAA